ACUGGUGGCAGCUCUUCCCCUCAGGCGGCCUGCAGGGUCCUGCCAGUGCUGCCACCCCGGGCCCGGCCCCUCUGGGCCUGGCAGGCCCUUAUUGCCACCAAUGGAUUCCACCCUGAGCGCCCAGGCCUAAAGAGUGAAUAUCUGAAGAGUGAUAAAGGUGAUCAGGCUUCUGGAGCAGCUUCCAUAUGAUGAAGGAAAUUUGACAAUCUUCAGCCUGGAGUAGAAUCAACUGACGGAGAAUUUGAUAGAGAUCUACAGGACUGGAAAUGACAUGAAAAAGGUGCUUGUUCAGCUGCUUGUUCCAGCCUGUAGAAGAACCUGAACACAAAUUGGCAGAAUCUAUGCAGCAAGGCUCUGAAAAUCAUCUCCAGUGAUCCAGAAAGCCUCGUAGCAAGCAGAAGAAGUCCUGCUCCUUGUCACUGUGAUUAUGGAGAUGCAGGAAGCAGCAUUUGUUCAUCUUUCAUGCCAGACUUUCAAACUCUGCAAUGUGACUGAAUGAUGCAAUAAGUGCAGAUACCGACUCUCAUGAAUGAACAGGCUCCUGGUCUCUCCCAGCACCACCUGUAGCCAUUAGAGGAAGGAGCUCCUGUGGAAAAUAACUGCCAGAACCUGCAAGAGGAUCCUUUUCUGCAGCAUCUUCAAGAGGAUCUUUUUCUCCACUCACUUCAGUCCAGAAAUCAACUGACCCAGCCAGAUGCACAAAGUUGUGCUCUGUGAAGACUCUGUUCAUAUUUUAUGGUAGUUGGACCUCAAAACUGUUGUUCAGUGAACUUUCCUCAGAAAAGAUACUGACACAAAUGUCAUUUAAAACUUAACAUGGAGAUACUUUAUGAAUGUCUGUGUUGAACAGAGCCCAGGCAGAAUUUCUCCCUUUGUGUUUGUGUGAAACAGGAAUCUGAAUUCAGUCACGUCUACACUUUGGGCUUGUAGAAAUUAGCACAAGGAAUAAUCCCAUGUUAUGGAGUAAUUUUUGAUGUUCCCUGUAAUUAAAAUAGUUCUGCAUUGCAUUCAGGCAAAAACUACUCUUUGGCAGUGUGAUGAAACAUUAGAGAAUUCUCCUCAAAUUAGUUACAGAAAUUGAAUGACAGGACAAAUUAAGAGGAGGCAGGAGGGGGUGAAAUAUUUUAUUUUUAAAAUACUCCAUAAAGACAAACAUGCAGUAAAUUAGCAAGUGUGCCUUCUCAGUUAUUCAUGGAAACAUGUUUGGAAAAAAACCAUGGGGUUGGUUUGUUUAUUAUUUGGCAGAAUUUUCCAGUGUUUUGUCAGCUUCCCACAGGCUGCUGUGCAUGGAGCUCCUUGGGAGGAUCUCCAGAAGGGUUUGAGGAAGCCUUCAGAAAUGAUGGACCAGCCAUGGAGGAGAAUGACAGAGCAAAGAGCUCAAAGCUGAGCAGCUCUUCUGCAAACCUCUCCACACCAGAGGCAUCACUUCAAGCAGCCACAUGUAUGGAGGGGGAGAAAAUGACAGAGAUCCAUGAUUCUCUCUUCAUACUGUCCUGGAUACUUCAAAAGCUGCACUAAAAAGUAUAAGCCAAACUUCCUCUGCAUUUACAGCAGAUCACUUUGAGGCAUCAGUACAACCAUAGUUACAGGAGGAGGGAGAAGGUUUCUGUGGCUUAGCACGAAGGUACUCAACUGGAUACUACCUUUGUCUUCUGUGGUGAUGAAUGUAAUAAAAUCAAAAGGCUGACAGUAAGAGCACACAGAGAGAAGCACGAGAGUUCUAAAAGCUGCUUUUGCAAGCCCAGAUGUGAAAGCGUGGUGCAUAAUCUCUCCUGUUAACUUCUGUUUCUCUAAUAAAGUUAUAGAGAAGUCUUCUGAUCAUCCAGCUAUGAAAAGCACCAUGACUGGUUCUGCCCAGAAGCUGCAUGAAUACAUGUGGAGCAGAAAAGUUGCUCUUUAUAGCCAGCUGUAAAAUUCUUUCAAGCCCUGUGAAUGUUCAAGCCUGAGAAGGCUUUUCUCACCAAGAUAUAGAAUAGCUUCAGCAUACCAGCCUUCAGCAGUGUGUAUAAGUCAAGAUUUCACUCCAAGCCUUUCACUCCACUUUAUUGGUGAAACUCAAAGUCAGUCAGCCCAUUUCAAGAAGAAAAAUGGCAUUUGGUUCCAGUAAGCAUCCACAGAACACACUCCAGAUUUGACAAACAUUGUAAUUAGUUGCUUUUGUGUGUUUAGUACACAGUGCAAAUGCUGUAAAAUGUUUUUCACAUGAUGCAACAUUGCCAGCAGAUAAUCACUGGAGCAGUAAACCAAAAGAAUUUGUGUAUAUCCUACAAGCUGCAAGAGGAUAAGAAAAUGUAAACAAAAACUAACAGCUGAAUUUUUCAGAUGAUACCAUUCCUUUUCUUUUGUUAAAUGGAUUUGUUUUUAAAUGUUACUUUUUGUCAGUUUCUCUAGAAAUUGAUUAGAAAACCCUAAACCAAUGUUGUGAAAAUGCUUUUGUUUCUGUUCUAGUUUUGAUUGUGUGAAUCUUUUUAGAACAUUUUCAGUUUAAUUAUGCAGCACUAAAAAUUGCAAUUAAACUGAAUUUGCAAUUGAAACUGCUCAUUUUAGUUAACUGUCAAAUUUACUAUGGGCGUUGUGAAAUAAGAGGCCUUUAUUAUUAUGAGGCGUUUUGAAAAAAAUUACCUUUUAAACAGGAGAAAAAUGUCAUGUCCCUCAGUCCUAUGUGAAUGAGCCAAUGGUUUAAAGAGCUACCUGAGCAGUGAAGCUGCUAACUCUCUAAGCACAAUGGAGUUUCUUCCAGGUGAUGUACUAAAAUAUUGCUAAACUGCAAGUAUGGACAGUAUUGAAUAAAGUCUUCUUUUUGUGUAUUUAGCAUCUUUUGUGAAAUGCAUUUUUCAAAGGUAGGUGGAAGGCUAAAGUUGCUUUAAAGUAGUCUAGUGAUAAUCUACUUGUCUUAGGGAUAUCUGACAUGCCCUGUUUUGCUGGAUGCUAUGAUGCAAUUUGAUGGAUAUUGUGUAUUAUAUGAGACUGUACAAAUCUUAAUAUCUCUGUUCCUCUGUUUUAGCAUGUGAUGUACAGCUCUGUGUACAUAGAGCAGCUCAGAUGAGUGUCUGAGACUACCCUUUUCCUCUAAGCCCUAGGCAUUUUUAUCACUGUGCCAAUAAAAGGAAGGGGAUUUAUGGGGUACUGCUUUUUAAUUCAUUCAAUUCUCUGUUCAUUGUGAGGUUAAUGUUGUUGAUCUAUUUUUCUCUUGAAACAAAUAAAAACAAUAUGUGCUGACACUGACUUUGACUUUUG